CCUACGGGGUGCAGCAGUGAGGAAUAUUGGUCAAUGGACGAGAGUCUGAACCAGCCAAGUAGCGUGAAGGAUGACUGCCCUAUGGGUUGUAAACUUCUUUUAUAAAGGAAUAAAACGAGGCACGUGUGCCUUUUUGCAUGUACUUUAUGAAUAAGGAUCGGCUAACUCCGUGCCAGCAGCCGCGGUAAUACGGAGGAUCCGAGCGUUAUCCGGAUUUAUUGGGUUUAAAGGGAGCGUAGAUGGGUUGUUAAGUCAGUUGUGAAAGUUUGCGGCUCAACCGUAAAAUUGCAAUUGAUACUGGCAGUCUUGAGUACAGUUGAGGUAGGCGGAAUUCGUGGUGUAGCGGUGAAAUGCUUAGAUAUCACGAAGAACCCCGAUUGCGAAGGCAGCUUACUAAACUGUGACUGACAUUGAUGCUCGAAAGUGUGGGUAUCGAACAGGAUUAGAUACCCGGGUAGUC
rnacentral:rRNA from 1 species